rnacentral:rRNA from 1 species
CAGUAGCCGCGGUAAUACGUAGGGUGCAAGCGUUAAUCGGAAUUACUGGGCGUAAAGCGUGCGCAGGCGGUGUUGUAAGACUGAUGUGAAAUCCCCGGGCUCAACCUGGGAACUGCAUUGGUGACUGCAACGCUGGAGUGCGGCAGAGGGGGAUGGAAUUCCGCGUGUAGCAGUGAAAUGCGUAGAUAUGCGGAGGAACACCGAUGGCGAAGGCAAUCCCCUGGGCCUGCACUGACGCUCAUGCACGAAAGCGUGGGGAGCAAACAGGAUUAGAUACCCCGGUAGUUCCUGUCUCUUAUAC